rnacentral:rRNA from 1 species
CCUACGGGGGGCAGCAGUGGGGGAUAUUGCACAAUGGGGGAAACCCUGAUGCAGCGAUGCCGCGUGAAUGAUGAAGGCUUUCGAGUCGUAAAGUUCUGUUCUUAGGGAAGAUAGUGACGGUACCUAAGAAGAAAGCCCCGGCUAAAUACGUGCCAGCAGCCGCGGUAAUACGUAUGGGGCGAGCGUUAUCCGGAAUUAUUGGGCGUAAAGAGUUCGUAGGCGGUCCUUUAAGUCAGAAGUGAAAGGCAGUGGCUCAACCAUUGUAAGCUUUUGAAACUGGAGGACUUGAGUGUUGGAGAGGAAAGCGGAAUUCCUAGUGUAGCGGUGAAAUGCGUAGAUAUUAGGAGGAACACCAGUGGCGAAGGCGGCUUUCUGGACAAAUACUGACGCUGAGGAACGAAAGCGUGGGGAGCGAACAGGAUUAGAUACCCCCGUAGUC